rnacentral:rRNA from 1 species
AUUGAACGCUGGCGGCAUGCUUUACACAUGCAAGUCGAACGGCAGCGCGGGCUUCGGCCUGGCGGCGAGUGGCGAACGGGUGAGUAAUACAUCGUAACGUGCCCAGUAGUGGGGGAUAGCUCGGCGAAAGCCGGAUUAAUACCGCAUACGACCUGAGGGUGAAAGCGGGGGAUCUUCGGACCUUGCGCUAUUGGAGCGGCCGAUGGCAGAUUAGCUAGUUGGUGGGGUAAAGGCCUACCAAGGCGACGAUCUGUAGCUGGUCUGAGAGGACGACCAGCCACACUGGGACUGAGACACGGCCCAGACUCCUACGGGAGGCAGCAGUGGGGAAUGUUGGAAAAUGGGCGAAAGACUGAUCCAGAAAUGCAGCGUGUGUGAUGAAGGCCUUCGGGUUGUAAAGCACUUUUGGCGGGAACGAAAAGGACUGUGCCAAUACCACGGUUCGAUGACGGUACCCGCAGAAUAAGCACCGGCUAACUACGUG